UACGUAGGUGGCAAGCGUUUGUCCGGAUUUACUGGGCGUAAAGAGCGCGCAGGCGGUCGUCCAAGUCGCGUGUGAAAGCCCCCCGGCUCAACUGGGGAGGGUCACGCGAUACUGGUCGACUCGAAGGCAGUAGAGGCAGGCGGAAUUCCGGGUGGAGUGGUGAAAUGCGUAGAGAUCCGGAGGAACACCAGAGGCGAAGGCGGCCUGCUGGGCUGCACCUGACGCUGAGCCGCGGAAAGCCCAGGGGGAGCGAACGGGG
rnacentral:rRNA from 1 species